UACGAGGGGGGCAAAUGUUGUUCGGAAUCACUGGGCGUAAAGGGAGCGUAGGCGGGCUUCUAAGUUAGGUGUUUAAUCCCGGGGCCCAACCCCGGUCGUGCACUUAAAACUGGAAGUCUUGAAUAGUGGAGAGGUCAGUGGAAUUGGGGGUGUAGCGGUGGAAUGCGUAGAGAUCCCCAAGGACACCAGUUGCGAAGGCGGCUGACUGGACACAUAUUGACGCUGAGGCUCGAAAGCAUGGGGAGCAAACAGG
rnacentral:rRNA from 1 species